UACGUAGGGGGCUAGCGUUGUCCGGAAUCAUUGGGCGUAAAGCGCGUGUAGGCGGUCCGGUAAGUCCGCUGUGAAAGUCGGGGGCUCAACCCUCGGAUGCCGGUGGAUACUGUCGGGCUUGAGUACGGAAGAGGCGAGUGGAAUUCCUGGUGUAGCGGUGAAAUGCGCAGAUAUCAGGAGGAACACCAAUUGCGAAGGCAGCUCGCUGGGACGUUACUGACGCUGAGACGCGAAAGCGUGGGAGCGAACAGG
rnacentral:rRNA from 1 species